rnacentral:lncRNA from 1 species
AAAACAGGUGGAAAACAAAUUCUAUAGAAUCUUCUUUGUGAAAGUUUAGCCUAUGAUAAUUCUGCAUCUUUAGAACACAGUAGAGAAGCACUAAAAGUGUUCUUAUUGGUGUCAUGGUGGCGUGGUGUUACAUGGAGUCUUUCAUAUAUAAUUACUGCAGUUAUUAUUUCUCUGAUAAUUGAUUCUGGCAAUGAACUAAAACUUUUAGGAGCCCAACUUAAUUCAUCAUUCAAAUCAAUUGACCUAUUCUUUUAUCAUUGCUAGUUGCUCUUUUUAUUAUUUUAGAAUCGUGUAAGCAUGACUUCUGUGUCUCUUUUGCCAUUCCAGUUCUUUUUAGAUGUAUUGGAGAAUAGGAGUAUCAUUAAACUC